rnacentral:rRNA from 1 species
AUUGAACGCUGGCGGCAUGCCUUACACAUGCAAGUCGAACGGUAACAGGUCUUCGGAUGCUGACGAGUGGCGAACGGGUGAGUAAUACAUCGGAACGUGCCCGAGAGUGGGGGAUAACGAGGCGAAAGCUUUGCUAAUACCGCAUACGAUCUCAGGAUGAAAGCAGGGGACCGCAAGGCCUUGCGCUCACGGAGCGGCCGAUGGCAGAUUAGGUAGUUGGUGGGAUAAAAGCUUACCAAGCCGACGAUCUGUGGCUGGUCUGAGGGGACGACCAGCCACACUGGGACUGAGACACGGCCCAGACUCAUACGGGAGGCAGCAGUGGGGAAUUGUGGACAAUGAGCGAAAGCCUGAUCCAGCAAUGCCGCGUGCAGGGAGAAGGCCUUAGGGUUGUAAACUGCUUUUGUACGGAGCGAAAAGGUCCUUUCUAAUACAAGGGGCUCAUGACGGUACCGUAAGAAUAAGCACCGGCUAACUACGUGCCAGCAGCCGCCGCCGUAA